GAUGAACGCUGGCGGCGUGCCUAAUACAUGCAAGUCGAGCGAACAGACGAGGAGCUUGCUCCUCUGACGUUAGCGGCGGACGGGUGAGUAACACGUGGAUAACCUACCUAUAAUACUGGGAUAACUUCGGGAAACCGGAGCUAAUACCGGAUAAUAUAUUGAACCGCAUGGUUCAAUAGUGAAAGACGGUUUUGCUGUCACUUAUAGAUGUAUCCGCGCCGCAUUAGCUAGUUGGUAAGGUAACGGCUUACCAAGGCAACGAUGCGUAGCCGACCUGAGAGGGUGAGCGGCCACACUGGAACUGAGACACGGUCCAGACUCCUACGGGAGGCAGCAGUAGGGAAUCUUACGCAAUGGGCGAAAGCCUGACGGAGCAACGCCGCGUGAGUGAUGAAGGUCUUCGGAUCGUAAAACUCUGUUAUUAGGGAAGAACAAAUGUGUAAGUAACUAUGCACGUCUUGACGGUACCUAAUCAGAAAGCCACGGCUAACUACGUG
rnacentral:rRNA from 1 species